CGUCCGCUCUGGGUUAGUCGGGUCCUAAGCUGAGGCCGACAGGCGUAGGCGAUGGAUAACAGGUUGAUAUUCCUGUACCACCUAUAAUCGUUUUAAUCGAUGGGGGGACGCAGUAGGAUAGGCGAAGCGUGCGAUUGGAUUGCACGUCUAAGCAGUAAGGCUGAGUAUUAGGCAAAUCCGGUACUCGUUAAGGCUGAGCUGUGAUGGGGAGAAGACAUUGUGUCUUCGAGUCGUUGAUUUCACACUGCCGAGAAAAGCCUCUAGAUAGAAAAUAGGUGCCCGUACCGCAAACCGACACAGGUAGUCAAGAUGAGAAUUCUAAGGUGAGCGAGCGAACUCUCGUUAAGGAACUCGGCAAAAUGACCCCGUAACUUCGGGAGA
rnacentral:rRNA from 1 species